rfam:Pseudomonas sp. TW4, complete genome.
UCGUAAGCCACUGCAUGGCACCGAGCCUGCAGCGGCGAGCUUCGUUGGUCCUGACGAAGUUUCACCAGAAAAAGGAA